UAUCCAUGUUGUGGGCGGCGUCAAAUCAAAUUUUUAUACCUUUCCCAAGCUUCAUAGUGUGAUUCAAAAUCAUUUUUCUUAAAAUUGACCAAUCUCAUCCCUGAGUUG